CGACGGGUGGGAAAGGAGAGGGAGAUUGGAGCACAGCCUGGGGACAGCUGGAAGGGAUGGUGGGGUGGGGUGCUGUGAAAUGACCAAAUGACCACAUUAGAACUGACCCUGGAGCCAGAUUCAAACCCCGCUAGGACAAGUCCGGAUAUUGAGCAAAGGGUGACACGCCCCAGACAAGCCUCGGAAAGGUCACCCUGGGGUGAUGUUGGAAUUUGGCCCGGCACAGGUGGAAGGUGAGGACCUUAGCAGGCCUCCUCAGAGCUGCAAGUGGACAGGACAGGGCUCGCAGGUCAGCGGCCGCGGGAGCAAGCAAGACGGCCACCAUAACAGCCCGAGGCUCCUCCCAGCCCCCUUCCCGAGCCCCGUGUGACCGUGCUGAGCACAUUCCUCCAUCAGUCACGACCUUAAGUGGCAGGUCUGCUAUCGGCCAUCUCACAGAUGAAGAAACUGAGUCUCAGGGAAGGGAGGUAACAGCACGGGGGCUGCUAGGCCAGGACUGACGCCGUGCUCGGACCCCAGCCACACCCGUAGAGGGGACACAGGGACUGCGGGAAGCCCAGUUAACAGGGAGGUGCUCUGGUUCACCGGUGCCUCAGAGGACAGAGGGCAUGACGGGGCCCA
rnacentral:lncRNA from 1 species